AUUGAACGCUGGCGGCAGGCUUAACACAUGCAAGUCGAACGAGUGGCGGACGGGUGAGUAAUGCUUGGGAAUCUACCUUAUGGAGGGGGAUAACUACGGGAAACUGUAGCUAAUACCGCGUACCAUAGGAUGAGCCCAUGUGGGAUUAGGUAGUUGGUGGGGUAAAGGCUCACCAAGACGACGAUCUCUAGCUGGUCUGAGAGGAUGACCAGCCACACUGGGACUGAGACACGGCCCAGACUCCUACGGGAGGCAGCAGUGGGGAAUAUUGGACAAUGGGGGCAACCUGACGCAGCCAUGCCGCGUGAAUGAAGAAGGCCUUCGGGUUGUAAAGUUCUUUUGGUAGCGAGGCGUUAUCUACAGAAGAAGCACCGGCUAACUCCGUGCCAGCAGCCGCGGUAAUAC
rnacentral:rRNA from 1 species